AUUGAACGCUGGCGGCAUGCCUUACACAUGCAAGUCGAACGAGUGGCGGACGGGUGAGUAAUGUCUGGGAAACUGCCUGAUGGAGGGGGAUAACUACUGGAAACGGUAGCUAAUACCGCAUACCAUCGGAUGUGCCCAGAUGGGAUUAGCUAGUAGGUGGGGUAAAGGCUCACCUAGGCGACGAUCACUAGCUGGUCUGAGAGGAUGACCAGCCACACUGGAACUGAGACACGGUCCAGACGCCUACGGGAGGCAGCAGUGGGGAAUAUUGCACAAUGGGCGCAAGCCUGAUGCAGCCAUGCCGCGUGUAUGAAGAAGGCCUUCGGGUUGUAAAGUACUUUCAGCGGGGAGGCGUUACCCGAAGAAGAAGCACCGGCUAACUCCGUGCCAGCAGCCGCGGUAAUAC
rnacentral:rRNA from 1 species